GAAGAAGUUUUGAUCGAACAGUGGUGAUUCGGGAUGCAAAUAUAAACGAUAGGAAGGAAGGAAGUUGUUUGGAAAGGGAACUCGAACGUUUGUACUCUCCAUAAUGGUAUUCAUAAAUAAGUGGCGAUAUUGCGGCCGUUCCGUAGCGAGGUAAUUAAGUUGCUCGAGUUGAACGAGCAAUUUCGGGGAAAGUAAAUAUUCAAAUGCUAUUAUCUCGAAGAGACGCUUCUACAAUUUCGUAUUCGCGGGAAGGAAUAAGGAGGAAUAAAAAGUAAGUCUACUUUGCAUAUCGAGACACCAUUCGUCUCUCGUAAUAAAUAAAUUCUUCUCCUAGAUUUUUAGAAAUUUCUUUCCUACGAAAGGAAAUGAAUUUGAAACACGUGAAGAGAAUUAUAAUAAUUUUUUCGAUUCCACGGAUUUUUCGAUUCACUUUUUAAACGAAGAAAAAGUUCCUUUUGGUUUUCAUUCGCAAUUUUCGGGAUUUUCACAAUACAAGAACGUGAAUCGAAAUGCACGUUCGAAAUGGAAUGAAAGAACGAAUUAGCCAGUCAAUGGAGGAACAAUUAAACGAGGACGUGGAGGAGCGCGGCAAAUUUUUCUUACCGGUUCGCGGAAGACGGUACUCGUUAGGCCAGCGAACUAGAGCGAAAACUUCAAAAACUGAUUUCGUUUCCCUAUCCAUCUUCGUCUUCUUCUCCGCCUAGAACCGAUUUCACGAGAUGAGAGCAGCUGUACGAUACUUUUUUUUUUUUUAAACGAAUAAUAUAAAACUCCGGUACAAUGAUUAAUAUAUACCAAAUUGUGUCGUUGUAAUAUGUGUGUCAUCUACGUAGAAAUACGUAUCCAAUAUUUCAUAGAUUAAAAUCCGGAAGAGAAUUU